GGGGGCAUUGCUCAGUGGUAGAGCUUCUGCUUGGCAUGCAGGUGGUCCCAGGUUCAAUCCCGGGCAACUCUG
rnacentral:tRNA from 1 species